rnacentral:rRNA from 1 species
AGCGCAGUACCGAACGCAAGUUCUCCUCUCGCCCGGACGCCCCGUCGGCGCCUUGCCAGCCCAAAUCGCGCAUGACGUGCAACUCUUUUACAAGGUUGACCUCGGAUCAGGUAGGACUACCCGCUGAACUUAAGCAUAUCAAUAAGCGGAGGAAAAGAAACCAACAGGGAUUGCCCCAGUAACGGCGAGUGAAGCGGCAACAGCUCAAAUUUGAAAUCUGGCCCCCCGGCCCGAGUUGUAAUUUGGAGAGGAUGCUUUUGGCGCGGCGCCGUCCGAGUUCCUUGGAACAGGACGCCACAGAGGGUGAGAGCCCCGUACGGACGGACGCCUAGCCUCUACAAAGCUCCUUCGACGAGUCGAGUAGUUUGGGAAUGCUGCUCAAAAUGGGAGGUAAAUUUCUUCUAAAGCUAAAUACCGGCCAGAGACCGAUAGCGCACAAGUAGAGUGAUCGAAAGAUGAAAAGCACUUUGAAAAGAGGGUUAAAAAGUACGUGAAAUUGUUGAAAGGGAAGCGCCUGUGACCAGACUUGCGCCCCGUGGACCAUCCGGCGUUCUCGCCGGUGCACUCUGCGGGGCGCAGGCCAGCAUCGGUUCUCCUAGGGGGAUAAAGGCCGCGGGAACGUAGCUCCUUCGGGAGUGUUAUAGCCCGUGGUGGCAUGCCCCUGGGGGGACCGAGGACCGCGCUUCGGCAAGGAUGCUGGCGUAAUGGUCACCAGCGACCCGUCUUGAAACACGGACCAAGGAGUCAAGCAUUGGGGCGAGUGUAUGGGUGCCAAACCCGCACGCGAAAUGAAAGUAAACGCAGGUGAGAGCUUCGGCGCAUCAUCGACCGAUCCUGAUGUCUUCGGAUGGAUUUGAGUAAGAGCCUUACCGCUUGGACCCGAAAGAUGGUGAACUAUGCCUGAAUAGGGUGAAGCCAGAGGAAACUCUGGUGGAGGCUCGCAGCGGUUCUGACGUGCAAAUCGAUCGUCAAAUUUGGGCAUGGGGGCGAAAGACUAAUCGAACCAUCUAGUAGCUGGUUACCGC